AUUCUUUUAGUAUAUAUAAAUAUAUUUGACUUCCAAUCAAAAGAACUUAAUUUAAGAAAGAAUA
rnacentral:tRNA from 1 species